AUUGAACGCUGGUGGCAGGCCUAACACAUGCAAGUCGAACGAGUGGCGGACGGGUGAGUAAUGUCUGGGAAACUGCCCGAUGGAGGGGGAUAACUACUGGAAACGGUAGCUAAUACCGCAUACCAUCGGAUGUGCCCAGAUGGGAUUAGCUAGUAGGUGGGGUAACGGCUCACCUAGGCGACGAUCCCUAGCUGGUCUGAGAGGAUGACCAGCCACACUGGAACUGAGACACGGUCCAUACUCCUACGGGAGGCAGCAGUGGGGAAUAUUGCACAAUGGGCGCAAGCCUGAUGCAGCCAUGCCGCUGGUGUGAAGAAGGCCUUCGGGUUGUAAAGCACUUUCAGCGAGGAGGCGUUACUCGCAGAAGAAGCACCGGCUAACUCCGUGCCAGCAGCCGCGGUAAUUC
rnacentral:rRNA from 1 species